ACUGUGAGAAGGAGAAGAAAUUCUUAGGGUUUCAGUUCCCUUAAUUUUUUCUCGCCUCUUCUCAGUACUUCUCUCUGAGAAGGAGAAGAAAUUCUCCCCUUCUUCUGAUCUUCAUCUUCUCUGUUAACCUUCAAUCAAACGAUUAAAAGUUCAAACCGUAUUACUUCGUCUGUCUCUUCGUUUUUAAUUCCGGUGUGAAGAAAAUUAGAAGAACAAUUCCGGUGGUAAGUAAUUUUUAAUUUUUUGAUUUUAAUUUUUGUAUGCAUGUCUGUGAAUCUGUGAUUGAGAUUAACGGAUUUUUGUUUUCUCUAGCGAGUAGCGGCUUAAAGGAUUUUCUUCAUCUCCCACCAAACCUUCAUAGCGAGUAGCGGCUUAAAGGAUUCACUGCAAUCACCGCCAAAGAUUGAGACCAAUUGAGAGCAAUUGCCUGACAAGUAAAAUCAAGGUACAUUAUCAAAGGCAGGAGCCGCAGGACUGCAUCAAUUGCACAAGGAAGUGCCAACUUUGUCAGUGAUGGAAAUAUGGCGUCAUUUCACUCGGAGAAAUGUUGAAGAACCCUCUUGCAAUUACUGUGGAAGGACUUA